GACGAACGCUGGCGGCGUGCUUAACACAUGCAAGUCGAACGGAAAGGCCUCUUUCGGGGGGUACUCGAGUGGCGAACGGGUGAGUAACACGUGAGUAACCUGCCCUUGACUUUGGGAUAACUUCAGGAAACUGGGGCUAAUACCGGAUAGGAGCUCCUGCUGCAUGGUGGGGGUUGGAAAGUUUCGGCGGUUGGGGAUGGACUCGCGGCUUAUCGGCUUGUUGGUGGGGUAGUGGCUUACCAAGGCUUUGACGGGUAGCCGGCCUGAGAGGGUGACCGGCCACAUUGGGACUGAGAUACGGCCCAGACUCCUACGGGAGGCAGCAGUGGGGAAUAUUGCACAAUGGGUGGAAGCCCGAUGCAGCAACGCCGUGUGCGGGAUGACGGCCUUCGGGUUGUAAACCGCUUUCGCUCAUGACGAAGCUUUGUGUGACGGUAGUGGGUAAAGAAGCACCGGCUAACUACGUG
rnacentral:rRNA from 1 species